GGAUCAUUACUAGAGCAAAGGACAGACAGCGCCCGCGGAGCUCGCUCCCGGGGCUACCCUACUCCCGUAGGGUUUAGAGUCGUCGGGCCUCUCGGAGAAGCUCGGUCCUGAACUCCACCCUUGAAUAAACUACCUUUGUUGCUUUGGCGGGCCGCCUCGUGCCAGCGGCUUCGGCUGUUGAGUGCCCGCCAGAGGACCCCAACUCUUGUUUUUAGUGAUGUCUGAGUACUAUAUAAUAGUUAAAACUUUCAACAACGGAUCUCUUGGUUCUGGCAUCGAUGAAGAACGCAGCGAAAUGCGAUAAGUAAUGUGAAUUGCAGAAUUCAGUGAAUCAUCGAAUCUUUGAACGCACAUUGCGCCCUCUGGUAUUCCGGGGGGCAUGCCUGUUCGAGCGUCAUUAUAACCACUCAAGCUCUCGCUUGGUAUUGGGGUUCGCGGUUUCGCGGCCCCUAAAAUCAGUGGCGGUGCCUGUCGGCUCUACGCGUAGUAAUACUCCUCGCGAUUGAGUCCGGUAGGUCUACUUGCCAGCAACCCCUAAUUUUUUUAAGGUUGACCUCGGAUCAGGUAGGGAUACCCGCUGAACUUAAGCAUAUCAA
rnacentral:rRNA from 1 species